CUAGUACUCCCUUCGUUCGAAAAUACUUGUCAUAUAAAUGGACGUAUCUCGAUGUAUUUUAGUUUUAGAUGCACUUUUAUUCAUUUUUGUGACAAGUAAUCUCGGACGGAGGGAGUACAUG
rnacentral:pre_miRNA from 1 species